CCAAAAGAAUUAUUGAAAUGAAGGCUCUUGACCUGAAGGACCUUCCAGCCUGUAUCCUUUCGUUAGUGCUUCAAUUUCUUCUGCAUUGCAAGAAUCUAACUUAUCGAUUUGUUGUUUUUCUGAUGGUACUACCCUGGCAUCUGUGUGUAUAUUCAGAUGAGUUUGCUGAAGUUGGCAACGUUUAUAUCCUGAUAGCUUGAUAUAGUCGUACUUAAGAAACAUGCGUUACAAAUGGACACGCUCAGAAAAAAAAUAGCACUAACAGGGAUUCCCAGGGCUCUUCUCAGCACCUCUCCUACUGGGACAGCCUCAGAAAGUGCAAUUAACUUUCUUCAGCUCAGGGGAUGGCUGCUUCAGCCACUUUACACCAUUUUGAUGGACAGCUGGGUCUCUCCCCUAAUCAGCCAAUUUGGAGAUAGAACAAUUAUAAAAGACAGCAAUUACCGAAUGCAGUCUGUCAUUGCGAAGAUGGAGGCUGAGAGGAGGAAGAGGAAAGAAGAAAUGGCCCAAGUUUAGACUCAGAUGAUUAAAAAAAAAAAAAAAAAAAGAUCUCAGCCCUACUGUACAGGAGGCUUCUGCAAAGCAAAGAGAGUCCUAGCUUCAAGUAGGUGAAAACACUGAUUUUCCAGCAAGCCUCCAGUUCGGCACCUAGCCUCUCAGGAAUCAAAGAUUAAGGAUUGUUUUUCAUUCUUGUUGUUCUUAAAGAUUCCAAGAGUUCUUUAGAAUCCUGCUCUGAUAUUAAAACAGUUACUCUUAAGGUUA